AACGAACGCUGGCGGCAGGCCUAACACAUGCAAGUCGAACGCUCCGCAAGGGGAGUGGCGCACGGGUGAGUAACACGUGGGAACCUACCUUCUGGUACGGAACAACCAAGGGAAACUUUGGCUAAGACCGUAUACGACCUCCGGGUGAAAGAUUGAUCGCCGGAAGAGGGGCCCGCGUCCGAUUAGGUAGUUGGUGAGGUAACGGCUCACCAAGCCUUCGAUCGGUAGCUGGUCUGAGAGGAUGACCAGCCACACUGGGACUGAGACACGGCCCCAGACUCCUACGGGAGGCAGCAGUGGGGAAUAUUGGACAAUGGGCGCAAGCCUGAUCCAGCCAUGCCG
rnacentral:rRNA from 1 species